rnacentral:rRNA from 1 species
UUGCCUGUUUACCAAAAACAUCACCUCUAGCAUUUCCAGUAUUAGAGGCACUGCCUGCCCAGUGACAUCUGUUUAAACGGCCGCGGUAUCCUAACCGUGCAAAGGUAGCAUAAUCACUUGUUCCCUAAAUAGGGACUUGUAUGAAUGGCCACACGAGGGUUUUACUGUCUCUUACUUCCAAUCAGUGAAAUUGACCUUCCCGAA